rnacentral:rRNA from 1 species
AUUGAACGCUGGCGGCAGGCCUAACACAUGCAAGUCGAACGAGUGGCGGACGGGUGAGUAAUGUCUGGGAAACUGCCUGAUGGAGGGGGAUAACUACUGGAAACGGUAGCUAAUACCGCAUACCAUCAGAUGUGCCCAGAUGGGAUUAGCUAGUUGGUGGGGUAACGGCUCACCAAGGCGACGAUCCCUAGCUGGUCUGAGAGGAUGACAAGCAACACGGUACCGGAGCCACGGUCCAGACUCCUACGGAAGGCAGCAGUGGGGAAUAUUGCACAAUGGGCGCAAGCCUGAUGCAGCCGUGCCGCGUGUAUGAAGAAGGCCUUCGGGUUGUAAAGUACUUUCAGCGGGGAGGCGUUACCCGCAGAAGAAGCACCGGCUAACUCCGUGCCAGCAGCCGCGGUAAUUC